UUUCCGUAGGUGAACCAGCGGAAGGAUCAUUAUUGUAUCAACCAAAUUCGAGAACUGUCGCUGACACACAAGGUCGUGCACGCCCGAGUGCCCUCACACACAUCCCUCUCACCCCUAUAAGCACCACCGCGUCGGUCCCCCUAAGGCUUGGUCGGAGAGGGGCGUACGUUUUCACACAAACUUUGAAAUCAGUGUAGAAUGUAUUUAUUGUUUUUCCGAUCACGCGAUCAAUACAACUUUCAACAACGGAUCUCUUGGCCACCGCAUCUAUGAAGAACC
rnacentral:misc_RNA from 1 species